GAUGAACGCUGGCGGCGUGCUUAACACAUGCAAGUCGAACGAGAAAUGUAGACGGAAACCUUCGGGCGGAAGCCUUCAUUUCGAGUGGCGGACGGGUGAGUAACGCGUGGGUAACCUGCCUCAUACAGGGGGAUAACAGUUGGAAACGACUGUUAAUACCGCAUAAGACCACAGCAUCGCAUGAUGCGGGGGUAAAAACUCCGGUGGUAUGAGAUGGACCCGCGUUCGAUUAGCCAGUUGGCGGGGUAACGGCCCACCAAAGCGACGAUCGAUAGCCGAUCUGAGAGGAUGACCGGCCACAUUGGGACUGAGACACGGCCCAAACUCCUACGGGAGGCAGCAGUGGGGAAUAUUGCACAAUGGGGGAAACCCUGAUGCAGCGACGCCGCGUGAGUGAAGAAGUACUUCGGUAUGUAAAGCGCUAUCAGCAGGGAAGAAAAUGACGGUACCUGAGUAAGAAGCCCCGGCUAACUACGUG
rnacentral:rRNA from 1 species